rnacentral:rRNA from 1 species
GACGUAGGGCGCGAGCGUUGUCCGGAUUUAUUGGGCGUAAAGAGCUCGUAGGCGGCUUGUCGCGUCGAAUGUGAAAUCUCGGGGCUCAACUCCGAGCUUGCAUUCGAUACGGGCAGGCUAGAGUUCGGUAGGGGAGACUGGAAUUCCUGGUGUAGCGGUGAAAUGCGCAGAUAUCAGGAGGAACACCGGUGGCGAAGGCGGGUCUCUGGGCCGAUGACUGACGCUGAGGAGCGAAAGCGUGGGAGCGAACAGG